rnacentral:rRNA from 1 species
GUAGGGAAUCUUGCGCAAUGGGCGAAAGCCUGACGCAGCCAUGCCGCGUGAAUGAUGAAGGUCUUAGGAUUGUAAAAUUCUUUCACCGGGGACGAUAAUGACGGUACCCGGAGAAGAAGCCCCGGCUAACUUCGUGCCAGCAGCCGCGGUAAUACGAAGGGGGCUAGCGUUGCUCGGAAUUACUAGGCGUAAAGGGAGCGUAGGCGGAUAGUUUAGUCAGAGGUGAAAGCCCAGGGCUCAACCUUGGAAUUGCCUUUGAUACUGGCUAGCUUGAGUAUGGAAGAGGUAUGUGGAACUCCGAGUGUAGAGGUGAAAUUCGUAGAUAUUCGGAAGAACACCAGUGGCGAAGGCGACUCACUGGCCCGUUACUGACGCUGAGGCGCGAAAGCGUGGGGAGCAAACAGGAUUAGAAACCCCAGUAGUCC